rnacentral:lncRNA from 1 species
GAGGGCAAGGAGCGAUUGUACCAGCUCCCCUUACACCUAGACCAGUUUCAGCAGUGCCCCCUCUAGCUAGAGGUGGUGGUCAGGACCAGGGUCGUCGGGACAGCCGACAGGGUACCAGAGGCGGAGCUCGAGGAGGCAGGCUAGGUGGUAGAUCAGAUGCAUCGGGCAGAGGUGCUCAGAGCCAUUUCUACGCAGCCCCGGCGAGGGCG